rnacentral:rRNA from 1 species
GAGUUUGAUCAUGGCUCAGAUUGAACGCUGGCGGCAUGCCUUACACAUGCAAGUCGAACGGCAGCAUGAUCUAGCUUGCUAGAUUGAUGGCGAGUGGCGAACGGGUGAGUAAUACAUCGGAACGUGCCCUGUAGUGGGGAUAACUAGUCGAAAGAUUAGCUAAUACCGCAUACGACCUGAGGGUAAAAGUGGGGGACCGCAAGGCCUCAUGCUAUAGGAGCGGCCGAUGUCUGAUUAGCUAGUUGGUGGGGUAAAGGCCCACCAAGGCGACGAUCAGUAGCUGGUCUGAGAGGACGAUCAGCCACACUGGGACUGAGACACGGCCCAGACUCCUACGGGAGGCAGCAGUGGGGAAUUUUGGACAAUGGGCGAAAGCCUGAUCCAGCAAUGCCGCGUGUGUGAAGAAGGCCUCGGUGUAA